rnacentral:rRNA from 1 species
GAUAGGCCAGAUGUGGAAGCCCGGUAACGGGUGGAGCUGACUGGUACUAAUAGGCCGAGGGCUUGUCCUCAGUUG